UUUUUUUUUGCCUCCAGGGUUAUUGCUGGGGCUUGGUGCUUACACUAUGAAUCCACUGCUUCUUGAGGCUAUUUUUUGCCUUUUGUUGCCCUUGUUGUUUAUUGUUGUUGUUAUAGUAAUUAUUGUUGUUGUUCUUGGAUAGGACAGAGAGGUACCAAGAGAGGACGGGAAGACAGAGAGGGGGAGAGAAAGCCAGACACCUGCAAAUCUGCUUCACUGCCUCUGAAGCGAUCCCCCGACCCCUGCCUGCAGGGAUCCUCUGCUGAGACCUGGGCUGGCUGGCCCCCAAACAAAUGUUUUAGGAGUGACAGAAGCAUCCCCUUGGCUUUAAGCUGUUCUACAAGACUUGUCCCUGGUUACUUGGCUUGAGAGAUGAUGGAAGGGCUGGGGGAGCCGAGGGUCACCUCUGAGGAGGAGCAGCAGGACCAGGGAGC